rnacentral:rRNA from 1 species
AUGCCGAUGGCCGCGCCGCAGACUCGCCGCCACCAGGCCGCCUUCCUCCGCAGCAAGCCCCCCGCCCCCGCCCCCGCCCCUCCCAACGGGAAGGCCGGCGCGACCAAUGGGAAACCCGCCGCCGCCUCCUCCAAGCCCAACUCGCCCGCCUCGCCCGCCCAGGCACCACCAACGUCGUCGCUGGAGGAUAGGACGGUGAAGCAGCUCAGGCUGGCCAAGGCCCUGACUCUCCCGGAGGCCACCGCGGUGUCGGAGGCGUGCAGGAGGAUGGCCGCCAGGCGCGCCGACGCCGCGCUGCUCACCGACGCCAAAGGGGUGCUCUCAGGCAUCGUCACGGCCGAGGUCAGAAACUCAUCACGAGGAGUCUUGAGUCUUUGCAACGUGAAAACAGGGAAUAUCAACUUUAAACUGCAGGGGAAUGAUAAUGCGAUUCUUGGGGCUGGCGCUGGAUGA